GACGAACGCUGGCGGCGUGCCUAAUACAUGCAAGUCGAACGAAGUUGUCUUAACUGGUGCUUGCACCGACUUAAACAACUGAGUGUCGAACGGGUGAGUAACACGUGGGUAACCUGCCCUAAAGUGGGGGAUAACAUUUGGAAACAGAUGCUAAUACCGCAUAACCACAGAAACCUCAUGGUUUCUGUGUCAAAGAUGGUUUCGGCUAUCACUUUGGGAUGGACCCGCGGCGUAUUAG
rnacentral:rRNA from 1 species